rnacentral:rRNA from 1 species
AGAGUUUGAUCCUGGCUCAGAUUGAACGCUGGCGGUAUGCUUAACACAUGCAAGUCGAACGGUAACAGCAGAGCUUGCUCUGGCUGACGAGUGGCGGACGGGUGCGUAACGCGUGGGAAUCUACCUUAUAGUGGGGGAUAGCCCGGAGAAAUCCGGAUUAAUACCGCAUAAUCCCUACGGGGGAAAGGGGCCUCUUCUUGAAAGCUCUUGCUAUUAGAUGAGCCCGCGUAAGAUUAGCUAGAUGGUGGGGUAACGGCCUACCAUGGCAACGAUCUUUAGCUGGUCUGAGAGGAUGAUCAGCCACACUGGGACUGAGACACGGCCCAGACUCCUACGGGAGGCAGCAGUGGGGAAUAUUGGACAAUGGGGGCAACCCUGAUCCAGCAAUACCGCGUGUGUGAAGAAGGCCUGAGGGUUGUAAAGCACUUUCAAUAGAGACGAAAAGCCUAAGAUUAAUAAACUUGGGUGGGGA